CUUUGCUCUAAGUGUGGCAAGGG
rnacentral:piRNA from 1 species